rnacentral:rRNA from 1 species
GAUGAACGCUGGCGGCGUGCCUAACACAUGCAAGUCGAGCGUGAUGCUCUGGAUUGAAGCUUCGGCUGAUUGAAAGAGUUGAAAGCGGCGGACGGGUGAGUAACGCGUAGGCAACCUGCCCCUUACAGAGGGAUAGCCACUGGAAACGGUGAUUAAUACCUCAUAAUGCGAGAGAGUCUCCUGGCUCUCUCGCCAAAGAUUUAUCGGUAAGGGAUGGGCCUGCGUCUGAUUAGCUAGGUGGUGAGGUAACGGCCCACCAAGGCAACGAUCAGUAGCCGAGCUGAGAGGGUAAUCGGCCACAUUGGAGCUGAGACACGGUCCAAACUCCUACGGGAGGCAGCAGUGGGGAAUAUUGCACAAUGGGCGCAAGCCUGAUGCAGCAACGCCGCGUGAACGAAGAAGGUCGUCGGAUUGUAAAGUUCUGUCCUUGGGGAAGAAACAAAUGACGGUACCCUUGGAGGAAGCCCCGGCUAACUACGUGCCAGCCGCCGCGGUAAGAC